rnacentral:lncRNA from 1 species
AAAGGGAUUUCACCUCGUCCUUGAGAGCAACACGGGGAGCGCGAGCGAGCGGGCGAGCGAGAGACGGGGGGAGAGAGAGGGACACGCGCGCGCACACACACACACACCGGCACACACGCACACACACAGACACACACACACAGAGUGAAAAAGGCGAGCCACCAAAACCCAUCUCCAGUCUCCUCCCGGGGGCCCCCAGCCCGCCUCUGUGCCACUUUGCAUCCCACGCCGGAGGAGGCAUUAACGAGACCGGGUAAGGCUUUUUAAACGGUCCAAGGUGUAGAGCCAUACUUCAGGAGGAUCCUCAGAAGUUUUGGACAAGCCUCCCCAAAUGUGGCAGGUGCUGUGCUGGCCAUUGGUGACCCAAAGAUGAUGAAAAAUAUGUUCCUGCCCACAAGGAGUUAGCGACCUACUGGGCUUUCCUCUUGCUGAUGACAUGAUUCCUGUUUGAAUCUGUUGACAAGAUUCUGAAAGCUGAACAGAGAAUUCUGGCACUGCACUGGGUAGGAAAAAGCAUUUCAAGAAAUAGAUAAUAUCAAGGACAUCAGGACACCGGGAGUGGGAGAGAUUGGACUGGGAGACUCAGCAGGUCAGGACAUUUACAUUACCAUUUGCUGGUCAUUCUUUUGCCAUCAGUUUUACAAUUCUCAAAUCUCUUGCCACUUGCUUAUUUCUU